AAUUGUAUCGUAUGUUAGUUAAAGGGGUUGGCGAACUACUACGAUCUAUAGAUUUUCCAUCUAUAUCCAAUCCCAACGAGAAUAGAAGCGAGUUGCUUCUGGUCUGUCUUGUAGUCGUAGUCUUUUAGCUUAUGUAGUUGUUGGCCUUCCUACACACAUGCGUUCGUCAGAAUGCCUCAUUGAUUCGGGAUGAAGCUAAGCUGAUACAUACGAUAGGCGAAGGAAAGACCUCCAUUUCAUAGCAUAAAAAUGAGAAAUUAGGACGGAUGUUUAUCAAGUUAAGGUGCAGUUGAAGACCAUGAAAGA
rnacentral:lncRNA from 1 species